rnacentral:rRNA from 1 species
GAUGAACGCUGGCGGCGUGCCUAAUACAUGCAAGUCGAGCGAACGGACGAGAAGCUUGCUUCUCUGAUGUUAGCGGCGGACGGGUGAGUAACACGUGGAUAACCUACCUAUAAGACUGGGAUAACUUCGGAAAACCGGAGCUAAUACCGGAUAAUAUUUUGAACCGCAUGGUUCAAAAGUGAAAGACGGUCUUGCUGUCACUUAUAGAUGGAUCCGCGCUGCAUUAGCUAGUUGGUAAGGUAACGGCUUACCAAGGCAACGAUGCAUAGCCGACCUGAGAGGGUGAUCGGCCACACUGGAACUGAGACACGGUCCAGACUCCGACGGGAGGCAGCAGUAGGGAAUCUUCCGCAAUGGGCGAAAGCCUGACGGAGCAACGCCGCGUGAGUGAUGAAGGUCUUCGGAUCGUAAAACUCUGUUAUUAGGGAAGAACAUAUGUGUAAGUAACUGUGCACAUCUUGACGGUACCUAAUCAGAAAGCCACGGCUAACUACGUG